ensembl:snRNA U1 U1 spliceosomal RNA
AUACUUAUCUGGCAGGGGAGAUGUCAAGAUCACAAAGGUGGUUUUCCAGGGCAAGGCUUAUCCAUAGCAUUACAGGUGUGCUGACCCCUGAGAUUUCCCCUAAUGUGGGAAACUCAACUGCAUAAUUUGCAGCAGUGGGGGACUGUGUUCAUGCUCUCCCCUG